GCCUUCUUCCUAAAGGGUAGAACUGGUCUAGUUCUUUUGUGUGUAUCACUGUUUCUUUGAAAGCCCUUAAAAGAGGCUUCUGUAGGUGGCAGCUCCCACGGGGUAAGGGGAGGCAGCACCACACAGCAGCUCUUUUCUCCCUCUGGUGGUUGAGCUCUGACCAAUCCCUGCUCUAUGGAGACAAGGCUAGAGCUGAGCAACAAGACUUUGGCUCAAAGGACUAGGAGUUGGGAAGUGAAAAGGUCUGACCCAGGAACAUUUCUCCAUCCUUCCUUUACUGAAGCUCUUUCCGUCUAGUGUAUUGAGGACAAAAAAGUGAGAUGGGAGAAAAGGGUAAGUCAAAUGACUCUUACUUAAUUGGGGUUGGUCUUUUC
rnacentral:lncRNA from 1 species